rnacentral:rRNA from 1 species
GAUGAACGCUGGCGGCGUGCCUAAUACAUGCAAGUCGAGCGAACAGACGAGGAGCUUGCUCCUCUGACGUUAGCGGCGGACGGGUGAGUAACACGUGGAUAACCUACCUAUAAGACUGGGAUAACUUCGGGAAACCGGAGCUAAUACCGGAUAAUAUAUUGAACCGCAUGGUUCAAUAGUGAAAGACGGUUUUGCUGUCACUUAUAGAUGGAUCCGCGCCGCAUUAGCUAGUUGGUAAGGUAACGGCUUACCAAGGCAACGAUGCGUAGCCGACCUGAGAGAGUGAUCGGCCACACUGGAACUGAGACACGGUCCAGACUCCUAAGGGAGGCAGCAGUAGGGAAUCUUACGCAAUGGGCGAAAGCCUGACGGAGCAACGCCGCGUGAGUGAUGAAGGUCUUCGGAUCGUAAAACUCUGUUAUUAGGGAAGAACAAAUGUGUAAGUAACUAUGCACGUCUUGACGGUACCUAAUCAGAAAGCCACGGCUAACUACGUG